rnacentral:rRNA from 1 species
UGGGGAAUUUUGGACAAUGGGCGAAAGCCUGAUCCAGCAAUGCCGCGUGUGUGAAGAAGGCCUUCGGGUUGUAAAGCACUUUUGUCCGGAAAGAAAUCCUUGGCUCUAAUACAGUCGGGGGAUGACGGUACCGGAAGAAUAAGCACCGGCUAACUACGUGCCAGCAGCCGCGGUAAUACGUAGGGUGCAAGCGUUAAUCGGAAUUACUGGGCGUAAAGCGUGCGCAGGCGGUUUGCUAAGAUCCGAUGUGAAAUCCCCGGGCUCAACCUGGGAACUGCAUUGGUGACUGGCAGGCUAGAGUAUGGCAGAGGGGGGUAGAAUUCCACGUGUAGCAGUGAAAUGCGUAGAGAUGUGGAGGAAUACCGAUGGCGAAGGCAGCCCCCUGGGCCAAUACUGACGCUCAUGCACGAAAGCGUGGGGAGCAAACAGGAUUAGAUACCCUGGUAGUCCACGCCCUAAAACGAUGUCAACUAGUUGUUGGGGGAUUCAUUUCCUUAGUAACGUAGCUAACGCGUGAAGUUGACCGCCUGGGGAGUACGGUCGCAAGAUUAAAACUCAAAUGAAUUGACGGGGUCAUAGCUGUUUCCU